rnacentral:rRNA from 1 species
UWUGUGUAUCUUCCACUGUUGCUUUGGCGGGCCCCGGGGCUCACGUCCCGGCGCUGGCCCCCUAAGGGGCCCGCGAGCGCCCGCCGAAGGCCCAUCAAAAAUCUGUUUAUCAGUGCAGUCUGAGUAUAUAACAAUCAAUCAAAACUUUCAACAACGGAUCUCUUGGUUCUGGCAUCGAUGAAGAACGCAGCGAAAUGCGAUAAGUAAUGUGAAUUGCAGAAUUCAGUGAAUCAUCGAAUCUUUGAACGCACAUUGCGCCCUCUGGUAUUCCGGGGGGCAUGCCUGUUCGAGCGUCAUUACACCUCUCAAGCACUGCUUGGUAUUGGGUGCUCGCCCUCCGCUUCGGGGGACGCGCCCGAAAUUCAGUGGCGGUCCCGGUGGACUUCAAGCGUAGUAAAUAUUCCGCUUUGGAAGCCUUUCGCCGGUGGCCCAGCCAGCAAACCUUUAUCUACCCCAAAAAUUGACCUCGGAUCAGGUAGGGAUACCCGCUGAACUUAAGCAUAUCAAUA